rnacentral:misc_RNA from 1 species
CGAAUGGGUCCAAAGACUCUUAAAACCUACCGUGCUCCCCUACGUGGAAAACAGGAAAGCCCUCCGGGGCAUAGGAAAUCUGAGAAGUUGAGAACUGCGCCCCGGCGCAUGACUAAAACAAAAAAAUUA